rnacentral:rRNA from 1 species
UACAGAGGUCCCGAGCGUUGUUCGGAUUCAUUGGGCGUAAAGGGUGCGUAGGCGGCUUCCUAAGUUUGAUGUGAAAUCCUGGGGCUCAACCCUGGAACUGCAUUGAAUACUGGGAGGCUAGAGUACUGGAGAGGAAACUGGAAUUUACGGUGUAGCAGUGAAAUGCGUAGAGAUCGUAAGGAAGACCAGUGGCGAAGGCGGCUCACUGGCCCGGUACUGACGCUGAGGUGCGAAAGCGUGGGGAGCAAACAGG